rnacentral:rRNA from 1 species
GAUGAACGCUGGCGGCGUGCCUAAUACAUGCAAGUCGAGCGAACGGACGAGAAGCUUGCUUCUCUGAUGUUAGCGGCGGACGGGUGAGUAACACGUGGAUAACCUACCUAUAAGACUGGGAUAACUUCGGGAAACCGGAGCUAAUACCGGAUAAUAUUUUGAACCGCAUGGUUCAAAAGUGAAAGACGGUCUUGCUGUCACUUAUAGAUGGAUCCGCGCUGCAUUAGCUAGUUGGUAAGGUAACGGCUUACCAAGGCAACGAUGCAUAGCCGACCUGAGAGGGUGAUCGGCCACACUGGAACUGAGACACGGUCCAGACUCCUACGGGAGGCAGCAGUAGGGAAUCUUCCGCAAUGGGCGAAAGCCUGACGGAGCAACGCCGCGUGAGUGAUGAAGGUCUUCGGAUCGUAAAACUCUGUUAUUAGGGAAGAACAUAUGUGUAAGUAACUGUGCACAUCUUGACGGUACCUAAUCAGAAAGCCACGGCUAACUACGUGCCAGCAGCCGCGGUAAUACGUAGGUGGCAAGCGUUAUCCGGAAUUAUUGGGCGUAAAGCGCGCGUAGGCAGUUUUUUAAGUCUGAUGUGAAAGCCCACGGCUCAACCGUGGAGGGUCAUUGGAAACUGGAAAACUUGAGUGCAGAAGAGGAAAGUGGAAUUCCAUGUGUAGCGGUGAAAUGCGCAGAGAUAUGGAGGAACACCAGUGGCGAAGGCGACUUUCUGGUCUGUAACUGACGCUGAUGUGCGAAAGCGUGGGGAUCAAACAGGAUUAGAUACCCUGGUAGUCCACGCCGUAAACGAUGAGUGCUAAGUGUUAGGGGGUUUCCGCCCCUUAGUGCUGCAGCUAACGCAUUAAGCACUCCGCCUGGGGAGUACGACCGCAAGGUUGAAACUCAAAGGAAUUGACGGGGACCCGCACAAGCGGUGGAGCAUGUGGUUUAAUUCGAAGCAACGCGAAGAACCUUACCAAAUCUUGACAUCCUUUGACAACUCUAGAGAUAGAGCCUUCCCCUUCGGGGGACAAAGUGACAGGUGGUGCAUGGUUGUCGUCAGCUCGUGUCGUGAGAUGUUGGGUUAAGUCCCGCAACGAGCGCAACCCUUAAGCUUAGUUGCCAUCAUUAAGUUGGGCACUCUAAGUUGACUGCCGGUGACAAACCGGAGGAAGGUGGGGAUGACGUCAAAUCAUCAUGCCCCUUAUGAUUUGGGCUACACACGUGCUACAAUGGACAAUGCAAAGGGCAGCGAAACCGCGAGGUCAAGCAAAUCCCAUAAAGUUGUUCUCAGUUCGGAUUGUAGUCUGCAACUCGACUACAUGAAGCUGGAAUCGCUAGUAAUCGUAGAUCAGCAUGCUACGGUGAAUACGUUCCCGGGUCU